AAUAUUUAAUGCAUUAAUGAUGCAUAUUGCUUUUUUAGCAUGGAAAAAUGUUUGUAGAGAAAUUGAAGUGACAAGAUCCUGUGGCACAGAUGGAAAAGCUCCAAGUGUUGCAUAUUAUUCAAGCAAUCUGCCUGAUGAGCAACUUCCACGUCCAGAUUUUAAGCCUUUUGACUUGGAUAGUUUUCUAGAACAAAGAUCAUUAAAUUUACAAGCCAACAAACAGUCACCCCAAUGAAAGAAUGUCCAUCUUAUGCUGAUGGCUAAACCAUAAACAGCAAUAUAUUUUUAAGACUUGUUAGAAACAGACUGUAAAAUAGUCAAAAUUAUGUUUUUAAGUUUUAGUUUGUUUGAAAAGUUAAGUGGAUGACUACUUGUGUCCAAUUAAAACUGACAUAUUUUUUAUAAUCUGAAAUAUAAAAUCAUCAAUUAUUUAUAUAUUACUUUUUAUAUUGAUAUGAGUAAAAUUGUUCAGUGUGCAUUUGCUUGACUUUUCUUUAACUUUUAGAAAGGUAGUUUUUAUAAUUACAUAUAUCUAUUUUUAUUUAAAAGUUUGUUAAUCUUUUUAGUUAAUCUAUAGCUAUUAUGAAUGAAAAUUAUGUUGCCUUGUAAAUAAUUUGUACAAGGCACAUAUGUACCACUUUUUUUUCAAUAAAAAAAAAAGUUCUCUACAUGUCUGCGUUAAAUUUUACACAUUUUCCCUGUCAGUUAGUAUUGUGAUUCACUAUACCUCAGAGCAGUUUAUAGAGGGAAUUAAUGCAUAUCAUUCAGUUUUGCGAAUAAAAAUAGCUAACAAAUCUCAAAAUUUGAACUAGUCAAGACAAAUAAAAAGAUAUAUAAUGAUUCUUUAAGAAAAGUUUUAGUGCUGUUAUUUCUUUGGUCUUUUGCAUAAUGCAUUCUGAACUUGGGUUAUUUAGAGAAUAUUGAAAAUUAAUUAUGCAAUUUUUUGUUUUAUAAGAAGCCUGUACCUCAUAAUUUUUAUACUACUCUCCAUAUGAAAUAGUUUUGAAAUUAAUUUUAUUUCUUUGCAUAAAGAACUCUAUGGUAUACAUGUGUGUAAGGGAUUAGUAAAAAGUCUGAAAUAGUAAUGGAAUUUAGAAACUAAGUUGUUUAGAAUUUAUUUAUUAAAAUGCAAGUGAAGACUUUA